rnacentral:lncRNA from 1 species
CAUUAUCCUCUGAUCCCACUGAGGGCUACCAAAAGAAACUACACCAUCUGCUCAAGAAACUCCCUGAGAAAGCACAGAAACAGAUCUGUACAGACACAUGCCUAGAACCCCGACCAGGGACAUUCUAUUUGCUACCCAAGAUCCAUAAACCUGGAAAUCCUGGACGCCCCAUCAUCUCAGGCAUUGGCACCCUAAUAUCAAGCUUGUCUGGUUAUGUGGACUCUCUCCUCAGGCCCGACGCUACCAGCACUCCCAGCCAUCUUCGAGACACCACUGACUUCCUGAGGAAACUACAAUCCAUCUGUGAUCUUCCAGAAAACACCAUCCUGGCCACUAUGGAUGUAGAAGCCUUCUACAGCAACAUUCCACACAAUGAUGGACUACAAGCCAUCAGGAAUAAUAUCCCCAAUAAUAUCACGGGAAACCUGGUGGCUGAACUUUGUGACUUUGUCCUCACCCACAACUAUUUCACAUUUGGGGACAAUAUAUACCUUCAAGUCAGAGGCACUGCUAUGGGUACCCGCAUGGCCCCACAGUAUGCCAACAUUUUUAUGGCUGACUUAGAACAAUGCUUCCUUAGCUCUCGUCCCCUAAUGCCCCUACUCUACUUGUGCUAUAUUGAUGACAUCUUCAUCAUCUGGACCCAUGGAAAAGAAGCCCUUGAGGAAUUCCACCAUGAUUUUAACAAUUUCCAUCCCACCAUCAACCUCAGCCUAGACCAAUCCACACAAGCGGUCCAUUUCCUAGACACUACUGUGCUAAUAAACGAUGGUCACAUAAACACCAUCCUAUACCGGAAACCUACUGACUGCAAUACUUACCUACAUGCCUCCAGCUUCCAUCCAGGUCACACCACACAAUCCAUUGUCUACAGCCAAGCCCUAAGAUACAACCGCAUUUGCUCCAAUCCCUUAGACAGAGACAAACACCUACAAGAUCUCUAUCAAGCAUUCUUACAACUACACUACCCACCUGGGGAAGUGAAAAAACAGAUUGACAGAUCCAGAAGAGU